UACGUAGGGCGCAAGCGUUGUCCGGAAUUAUUGGGCGUAAAGAGCUCGUAGGCGGCCUGUUACGUCUGCUGUGAAAUCCCGGGGCUUAACCCCGGGCGUGCAGUGGAUACGGGCAGGCUGGAGGCAGGCAGGGGAGAACGGAAUUCCCGGUGUAGCGGUGAAAUGCGCAGAUAUCGGGAGGAACACCGGUGGCGAAGGCGGUUCUCUGGGCCGAUACUGACACUGAGGAGCGAAAGCGUGGGGAGCGAACAGG
rnacentral:rRNA from 1 species